rnacentral:rRNA from 1 species
UACGUAGGGUCCGAGCGUUGUCCGGAAUUAUUGGGCGUAAAGGGCUCGUAGGCGGUUUGUCGCGUCGGGAGUGAAAACACCGGGCUUAACUCGGUGCUUGCUUCCGAUACGGGCAGACUGGAGGUAUGCAGGGGAGAACGGAAUUCCUGGUGUAGCGGUGAAAUGCGCAGAUAUCAGGAGGAACACCGGUGGCGAAGGCGGUUCUCUGGGCAUGAUCUGACGCUGAGGAGCGAAAGUGUGGGGAGCGAACAGG